GUAACAAGGUUUCCGUAGGUGAACCUGCGGAAGGAUCAUUAC
rnacentral:rRNA from 6 species